UUGACCUCGGAUCAGGUAGGAAUACCCGCUGAACUUAAGCAUAUCAAUAAGCGGAGGAAAAGAAACCAACAGGGAUUGCCCUAGUAACGGCGAGUGAAGCGGCAACAGCUCAAAUUUGAAAUCUGGCGCAAGCCCGAGUUGUAAUUUGUAGAGGAUGCUUCAGGGCAGCGGCCGGUCUAAGUUCCUUGGAACAGGACGUCAUAGAGGGUGAGAAUCCCGUAUGCGACCGGUUGGCACCCGUCACGUAGCUCCUUCGACGAGUCGAGUUGUUUGGGAAUGCAGCUCUAAAUGGGAGGUAAAUUUCUUCUAAAGCUAAAUAUUGGCCAGAGACCGAUAGCGCACAAGUAGAGUGAUCGAAAGAUGAAAAGCACUUUGGAAAGAGAGUUAAAAAGCACGUGAAAUUGUUGAAAGGGAAGCGCAUGCAACCAGACUUGUCGGCGGUGUUCCGCCGGUCUUUUGACCGGUCUACUCGCCGCCGGCAGGCCAGCAUCAUCUGGGCGCGCCGGACAAAGGCGCGGGGAAUGUAGCUCCUCGGAGUGUUAUAGCCCCGCGCACAAUACGGCGCCGCUCGGGUGAGGUCCGCGCUUCGGCUAGGAUGCUGGCGUAAUGGUUGUAUGCGGCCCGUCUUGAAACACGGACCAAGGAGUCUAACAUCUAUGCGAGUGUUCGGGUGUCAAACCCCUACGCGGAAUGAAAGUGAACGGAGGUGGGAAGCGCAAGCUGCACCAUCGACCGAUCCUGAUGUCUUCGGAUGGAUUUGAGUAAGAGCAUAGCUGUUGGGACCCGAAAGAUGGUGAACUAUGCCUGAAUAGGGUGAAGCCAGAGGAAACUCUGGUGGAGGCUCGCAGCGGUUCUGACGUGCAAAUCGAUCGUCAAAUUUGGGUAUAGGGGCGAAAGACUAAUCGAACCAU
rnacentral:rRNA from 1 species